UCACUUCCCCAGCCCAGCGACCCCGGCCCCGCCCCGGUUGCCCCGGCGACGAGGGGCCGCCGUGCGGCGGCUGGAUCAUGGCGGCGUCUGUGGGGACGACUCCCGGGGGGACGACCCCCGCGGGGAUGACUCCGGCGGGAACCACGCCCGAGUCGGAGAAAGAUACUGAAUUCCAGGAGCGUGAAAAGAUUCUGUGUCCAGAUUUUCUUUCAGUUGCCCAGAUCACCGAAAUGCUAGCAGAGGAUGUAGAUGGAGUUCAACAGAAACUGGAAAAGUUUUUGAAUUUCAGAAAUCUUCAAACCUGUUUAAAGGAAGCCAGUCUACUAGAUUAUUAUGUAUCUGGAUUUUUGUGGGCAAGAGGAAUGGACUUUUCUAUUAUUCAAUAUUCAAAAUUUAUGACCUUACUGGAUAUGUUACUUCAUAAUCUUAGAACACUGCAUAUGCCCUUAGAAGACAGCAUAAAAUGGCUCAGAGAAGUUAUGGCUGAAAUAGGACCAUCCCAUUCACAAAAAAAUGAGGAAUGGAAUAUCUUUGAUGUAAAACAAGCCAAUGCUGUUGUUGAUUAUUUGAAAAUCAGCUUAUUUCAACACUACAAGCUAUAUGAGUUUCUGUUCUUCUCUGCCAGGGAAGAAAUUGUGAUAGGAACUGAGCAAGUGAUAGAGGUUGUGAAGCCUGCAGGUCACCCUUUCCCUGAUCCUCUAGAAGAAGGAAUCUCAUUUGAUAUUUACUCAACAUUCAUAGAGCCACCUCCAAUACUGGAUAUGGAAAUGAAGGGGUUGAAUCAAGAACAAGGCCCUGAAGAGUCCCAGCCAGAAGCUGACACUUCAGAGACUGAUCCAUUAGUUGGUUUCACCAUUGAAGAUAUAAAAUUGGUGCUGGGUCAAGUCACAGAUGACAUUUUAAUCAGCAUUCAGGAUAACCCAAAAACCAUUGCCCAUCCCUAAUACCCACUGUCCAGUUAUUGGAUCAGCCUCUUUGCCAGAAUUCCCAGCCAUCUCUGUCUCUCCACUGGAACUUGUGGAUCGAUACAUCCUCCCAUGAUCCCUUUGCAGUGAGGUGUGACUAUGGGACCAAGUUCCAGCCAGCAGAAUGUGAGUACAAGUGAAAUGUGCUGCUUGAAGGGUAUGGCUCAGGACCAGACCAUACCUCUUCCACAUUCUCUCCCCUCCCUCUCUGCUGGCCGGAUGGCAGCAAGGAGAGUGACGACUCAAAGGUGAUAGAGCAGCUGUCUGCCUGGGUUCCUGAAGGGCCACAUGACAGGUGACACUUACCAACUCAGAUCACAUGCCCAGACUGUCAUAUGAGGGGGCAAGAAACUUCCAUUUCUGAGAGUGACUUCACUCUUGGGUCUGUCUGUUGCUGCAGUUAAGCCUGCCCUAAUUAACUCAAUGAAUAUGUCUCUCUGUGUUUAUGCAUAUGUAGCAUGUGUCAUAUGGGUCAAUGUCUGUAAACUGGGAGAACAACCAGCAAAUUCAUUACCUAGGGACCUGCUUAUAGUUUUAUUGCAUAAAGUAAUUACUUCUUAGCUUAUAUAAGCCCACAGUCCCUCCUAAACUGACAUUCUAUGAAAUAAUUGACUGAGCCUCUUAAGUAUGAUGAACUACACACUCAGGAAACUCCCACGAGAGGCCACACCUUCAAUACUUCCUACUUUAAGUGAGGCUAGUAAUUUUUUAAAUGUCCAUGGAUGGCUUGGGAUUUCUCUAAUAUAAUAAGUAUAAACAAGACUCUAGAUUAUUAAUUUGCUAAUAGUUUUUCCCUUAGGCCAAGGUAAUUUCCUCAGCUGAAAUACUCCUUGAUUCACUAAAAAUUAUUUACUAGAUGCCUACUCUAGAACCUGGCUAAGGCCCCUACUAGAGCAAAUAUUGAUACGUUGGCUACUUGAUGUUAACUAUAUCCAGUUCUAAAGACUAAUAUUUAUUUCAGAAGUAUUAUUUCUGAUUUGGGUAGUUCGCAGUCCAUAGGUUAAAAUAAACAGCACAGUCAGAUCAUAGACAGAGUUGGAAGUAGAAAGAACUUAUUUUUUCCCUCCCUUAAACAUGUUCAGUCACCAGUUGUUUACUUGGUAUUGGUGACCACCUGUGUCAGUUAGGAUGCUCUCGGCUACAAGUCAAUAAAAUCCUAAACUCAAAAUGGCUCAAAAAAUUAUAAAAAUACACUACAUAAUCUUACAAAAAAGAAGUUCAGAGGUAGGGAGCCUCAGUGACAUCAUCAAGGACCCAGAUCAUUUCUGUCUGUGGUGUCCUCUUCAGCACCUUGGCUUUUGUCCUGAGUUGUCCCCUCCUAAUCCCAAGAUGACAAUUACGUCCUCACAAAUGUUUUCUUCUCUUACAUUUCGUUUUAACAAGCAGAAAAACUUUUCCCAAAGCCUGCCAGUAGAGUUUCUCCUGUGUCCGAUUGGCCAGAGUUGUGUCACAUGAUCAACCCUAAACCAGAUGCUGGUAAGGGAAGUAGAAUGGUCAGGAUUGACUUAGGUGAGUCAGGAUGCACCAGCUGGGGUGGGGGGCGUGGCCCUGAAACACUGGUCAGCCACAGCUGAACAAAACUGGGAUUCCCUUCCAGAGGGAAAAAAAUGUAGAUGGCUUUUGGGCAGGUCACUGCCAUUUCUACUCCACCAAAUGAUCUUUCCUCUGUAACUUUUUUUUGGGGGGUUUUUUAAAAAAUAUUUUUAAAAAUUUGUUUAUUUUAUUUUUAUUUAUUUUGGGCUGCGUUGGGUCUUUGUUGCUGUGCGUGGACUUUGCCUAGUUGCGGCGAAUCGGGGCUACUCUUUGCUGCGGUGCACGGGCUUCUCAUUGCGGGGGCUUCUCCCGUUGCAGAGCACAGGCUCUAGGCGCGCGGGCCCAGUAGUUGCGGCACGCGGGCUCUAGAGCGCAGGCUCCACGGCAUGUGGGAUCUUCCCAGACCGGGGCUCGAAGCCAUGUCCCCAGCAUUGGCAGGCGGAUUCUCAACCACUGCGCCACCAGGGAAGCCCCCAUAACGUUUUAUACCUUGGAAUGUCCUAGCAUUCUCAGCAUUCUUCAAUUCCAAAUUUAGGUGGAUAGAUAGGUAGGUAGAUAGAUAAAAGGUAUUUUUUUCUUCUUUUUCAAAGAUUGUGCUACUGGUGCUGAUUAUUAUCUCUAUGUGUGGGUGUGGUUUUUUAAAUGUUUGCCACAGAAGGAGCUACUGCAUUCCAACAUGUCUAUGAAAAUUAGCUAGAAAUUUUUGAAACCAAAUCUAUUCAUCUCUUAAGGUGCUAGACUCAUAUUGAAUUAUUAGUACCAUUUCCUUUCUGCUGAAAUUUUGAUGACAAGGUCAUCAUUCAUUCAACCAAGUGUGACCAUUUUAGAUUCAGUUAAGUGUCUUUAUUCAAGGUGUCCUCAUAGGCUCCUUUAUUUGUUAGAACCAUUUCAAAAUGAAUAGACAGAUGAAUCACCAGAGCACUGCAAAGCAAAACUCAAGGGCCAGGGCUAAACUGAGGAGACAAAACAAACAAAAAGAUGAUGCAAUUACAGACUUGGGAAAUUGUUCAUGAUUUAGAGGGAAAAUCUAUCAUUAAAUAUGAUAUGUGUUUUGUGGGGAAAAAUGAUAUGCAAAGAUAAAGCAUCUGAAUAAAAUGGGAGUUAUCUGUUGAUGGUAAGGUUGCAGGUGAUUUUUAAAUUUUUUCUGUAUUUUCCAUAAAUUCCCUAUUAACUUUUUUAACUAACAAGAAGUACACAUCACUUCUGAGAGGUUGAUGCUGCACCCUAGCCUUUCAGUGUCAUUGCCCUUUUGCCAGCUUCUGGACCAACCCACUGGAAGCCGGGUUACCCAUUUUCCCUGCCCUCUCUGGUAGAGAGUCUUUACAGCAGCAACCGUUAGAAGGCAUCGGGUACCGUUUGGACCCAGGGAAGCACAGAACGCUUCCCAGAAACGGCUCCUAUUCUGAAAAAGCUCCCAAUCUGAGUUGGAUACACUAGUGCAUAGCUUUGGGUGAAUAGACACAUUGCGCUGAUGGUACUGAGAUGACUUCUAUUUAUUUAUUUAUUUAAUUUUGGCUGUGUUGGGUCUUCGUUUCUGUGCGAGGGCUUUCUCCAGUUGCGGCAAGCGGGGGCCACUCUUCAUCGCGGUGCGCGGGCCUCUCACUAUCGUGGCAGAGCACAGGCUCCAGACGCGCAGGCUCAGUAGUUGUGGCUCACGGGCCUAGUUGCUCCGCGGCAUGUGGGAUCUUCCCAGACCAGGGCUCGAACCCGUGCCCCCUGCAUCGACAGGCAGAUUCUCAACCGCUGCGCCACCAAGGAAGCCCCUGAGAUGACUUCUAGAAGGUGGAUUCCACGGAAGAUUCUGUCACAAAAAACUGCAGGAUGUUGGGCGUGCUGCAUUACCCAUCUGAGCCUUGGGUUUAUUGCUUAUAAAAUGGAUGGAUUGACAAUAGGUUAAAAAAAAAAAAAAAGGCAACGUUGAGAAGCCUUUUCUUAAAAUUCCAGGGACAUCCCCGACUUUAAAAAACUACAAACUAGCCUUAGAAGAACACAGCAGGUUAAAGAAGAUCUCAAAUUGGCUUAGAUCGAAACACCAGAUGCAUUUCCAUUAAAGUCAAAAGUGAGAUAAGGGUUGGAAUUAAUGAAUUAGUCGUAUAAUUUAUCUGUUUAAUGUUUGUCUCCCUGCCCAGGCUGUACCUCGAGGAGGGCAGGAGCUGUUUCUAUCUUGUUCUGUGCUCUAUCUGCAAGAUCUAGCACAGUGCCUGGCACAGAGUAGGAACUUCAUGAAUGUUUUGUAGAAGGAAGAGAAGGCAAGUAGACAACACAGGCUGGCUGUUUUCACCACUGGUAUUUUGCUUUUCCUACCCCUGCAAUACGACAACAUAAGGAAGUUAAAAGUAUAAUUAACACAAAGCUAAAAUAAUUAUU